rnacentral:rRNA from 1 species
UACAGAGGGGGCAAGCGUUAUUCGGAAUUAUUGGGCGUAAAGGGCGCGUAGGCGGCUUUGCAAGUGACGGGUGAAAGCCCUCGGCUUAACCGAGGAACUGCCUGUCAGACUGUGAGGCUUGAGACCGGGAGAGGUGAGUGGAAUUCCCAGUGUAGCGGUGAAAUGCGUAGAUAUUGGGAGGAACACCAGUGGCGAAGGCGGCUCACUGGACCGGAACUGACGCUGAGGCGCGAAGGCGCGGGGAGCGAACGGG